rnacentral:other from 1 species
AUUGCCCUGCCGUGUUUGUGAUGUUGCAUCCGCGUUUGAGCCAACACCAAACACGACGGGAUUCGAAGUAACGUAGCGGACACGAUAGGCUUGAGCCAAGGUGGAAGCUAUUAACAGGAUCCCACCUGCGCUAGCAGGUUCAAUACGGCGCAGCACACGGCAUGGUGGGGCUCAC